UAUGCAACCGCACAAAAAAGGUUUUUAAGGAUUAGAUUCACCUUUAUGGCGUGUCUUAA
rnacentral:sRNA from 1 species